rnacentral:lncRNA from 1 species
ACGCAAAGGACCAUCCCGUAUCAGACCCGAACAGCCGCAGGUUCAGCCAAAAUCAGACCUGAAACAGAACAUAAUCUCUGUGCUAAAAUAUUCCAACAUUAAAGUAACUCAUGAACACAAUUUUCAACUAUAAAUCUUGAGUCUAGCACUUUUUCUCAAACAUUUUUCCCGUACACUACAUAAUAGGCAACAAAACAAAGCAUUACUAUGAACACCUAAUUUAGGGACAUCAAGGUACAUAUAUUCAAUCUAGGGACGACUUGGGAAAUAUAUUCAAUUUAGGGACAUUGAGGGACAUAUAUUCAAUUUUGCAUCUAAUGUGCCAAGGGACUUCUCCACUUAUAUUUGAAGGUAUGAAGCAUUCACAUUAAAAUUGCAUUCAGAUCAUCAAUGUUAAUAUAAGGACAUCGAGGGACAUAAACUCAAUUUAGGGACAUUAAGGGACAAUAUACUCAAUUUUGCAUCUAAAGCACCAAGGCACGCACACAACCAUCUUUCUUAUUUACCGUUAUGAGAAAAUAAUUAUCAAGGGUCAUCUCAACUUGCAUUUUAAGUUAUGAAUAAAACAUUCAUAUUCAAAUUGUAUUUAGACCAUAAAAUAAGAAUUCAUAGUACCAUCAAUUCAGUUUAUCAAAUUUAUGAUCACAUGAUCCAAAUAUCAACCCAAUAUCAUUCGCCGUCAAUUCAAUUUAUCAAAUUUCGAACCACAUAAUACAAAUAUCAAAUUUCAUAUCCAAUGUCAUUCUCCGUCAAUUCAGUUAAUCAAAUUUAUGACCACAUAAUUCAUCUCCGUCAAUUCAAUUUAUCAAAUUUAAACCACAUAAGCCAAAUAUCAAAUUCCGUAUCCAAUAUAAUUUCCCAUCAAUUCAGUUUAUCAAAUUCCACAUCCAAUGUCAUUCUCCGUCAAUUCAGUAUCUCAAAUUUAGGACCACAUAAUCCAAAUAUCAAACUGUGUAUCCAAUAUCAUUCAGGCACAAUAGAAUCAUCUUUCCAAUUUAUCAAAUUUUGAACCAUACAGCCUCAAAUAUCAUAUUUUCUAUCCACGCAUAUUCAAUUAAUCAAUUUAGAGACAUCGAAGGACAUAUAUCCAAUGUUUGCAUCUAAGGCACCAAGGGUCAUCUCCAUUUACAUUUGAAGUUAUGAAGCAUUCACAUUGAAAUUACAUCCAGACCAUCAAUUUAAGGGACAUCGAGGGACAUACUCUCAAUUUAGGGACAGUUAGGGACAUCAAGGCAUUUAAACUCAAUUUCGCAUCGAAGGCACCACGAUACACAACCAUCUUCCUUAUUUACCGUUAUGAGAUAAUCAUUAUUAAGAGUCAACUCGACUUGCAUUUCAAGUUAUGAAUAAAACGUUCAUAUUCAAAUUACAUUUAGACCAGAAAAUAAGAAUUCAUAAUUUAAACCACAGUUUUCGUAAAAAAUUCAUCUCGAUAGAUAGGGUCAUCCAAACACAUCAUCUCAAUACUCGACUAAAGAAUACUUUUAGCCAUUAUACAAUUUCUUACUUUCCAAAAUAGCCUUCUUAGGUUUGAUUUAUCAAGUUUCACCAAUUUAGCACAUUGUUGGAUAAUCAAGAAUAAGCAUUGACAUUGAAAUUGCAUUUAGACCAUCAAUAUUAAAGACAACGAUGGAUAUAAACUCAAUUUAGAGACAUCAGGGGACAUACCAUAAAUUUAUGAACAUAUACUCACCAAGAGGUUCACCAACAUCCACUCUAAAAAGAAGGGCAGACAGUUUUGUCUUUGAAAGCACAAACUGACCAAAUUUGUCACGGAUGCAUAUUUCAAUCCCAACUCUAUUUAAAUGUGACGCAAAGGAUGCACGAGUAUUGAAUUUUGCAUUGCCCCGAGGUCGGACUUUUCCAAUUAACAGCAGCCGAAUAUAUGUGUGCUCCGAACCAGGCUCAGCCGUUGUAGCAUUCGGCAAAGGACCAUCACGUAUUAGACCCAAAGUAGUCGCUAGCAUCAGACCUGAAACAGAACAUAAUCUCUGCGCAAAAAAAUUCCAACAAUAAAGUAACCGAUGAACACAAUUUUCAACUAUAAAGCUUGAGUCUAGCACUUGUUCUCAAACGUUGUUCCAGUAAACUUCAUAAUGCAGAACUAUGAACACCUAAUUUAGGGACAUCAAGGUACAUAUAUUCAAUUUAGGGACUUCUGGGGAAAUAUAUUCAAUUUAGGGAUAUUGAGGGACAUAUAUUCAAUUUUGCAUUUAAUGUGCCAAGGGACUUCUCCACUUACAUUUGAAGUUAUGAAUUAUUCACAUUGAAAUUGCAUUCAGAUAAUCAAUUUUAGGGACAUCCAGGUACAUAAACUCAAUAUAAGGACAUCGAGGGGCAUAAACUCAAUUUAGGGACGUUGAGGGACAUACUCAAAUUUGCAUCUAAAGCACCAAGGCAAACACAACCAUCUUUCUUAUUUACCGUUAUGAGAAAAUCAUUAACAAGGGUCACCUCGACUUGCAUUUCAAGUUAUGAAUAAAAUGUACAUAUUCAAAUUGCAUUUAGACCAUAAAAUAAGAAUUCAUGGUGCCAUGAAUUCAAUUUUAUCAAAUUAUGGAUCACAUGUUCCAAAUAUCAAAUUAUGUACCCGAUAUCAUUCGCCGUCAAUUCAAUUUAUCAAAUUUUGAACCACAUAAUCCAAAUAUCAAAUUUCAUAUCCAAUGCCAUUCUUCGUCAAUUCAAUUUAUCUCCGUCAAUUCAAUUUAUCAAAUAUAACCAAAUAAUUCAUCUCCGUCAAUUCAAUUUAUCAAAUUUAGACCACAUAAUCCAAAUAUCAAAUUUUGUAUCCAAUGUAACUUGCCAUCAAUUCAGUUUAUCAAAUUUCUAACCACAUAUUCAAAAUAUCAAAUUCCACAUCCAAUGUCAUUCUCCGUCAAUUCAGUUUCUCAAAUUUAGGACCACAUAAUCCAAAUAUCAAAUUUCGUAUCCAAUAUCUUUCCGGCACGAUAGCAUCAUGUUUCCAAUUUAUCAAUUUUAUCAAAUAGUGUCAAAUAUCAUAUUAUAUUUUUCUCAAUGCAUAUCGUUUCUUUUAUUUCCUUUUUAGUUCCUUAACUAGUGUGCCGAAUGCACUAGUCAGCAAAGACCUUGCGCCAUUAAGUUAUCUUUGGUUGAUUUACAAAGGACUCAAAUUACAUUGAUCUUCUAAAGGUUAAGUCUAUAAUUUAAAUAAUAAGUCGUCUCUUUCCUUUUUUUCUAAAACUUAACUCACAAACAAAAACAAAAGUAAUUAUUCAAAAAUGUUUACAUGCACCGCAACAUAUUUUGGUGGAGUUUAUUAAUAUACCUAUUGCCAUCUCUAAAGCACAAAGUUUAGACUUUAGAACAUAUAUAUGUGCAUGAGGGGUGAGAUCCCGAUCUUAAAUUCGAGUCACUUUGUGAAUUGUAAAACAGUCUUCAUUACUCAUUAGUCAUUAGUGUUGUCCCAGAAGAUCAGUAAAAACUAAUUAUAGCGAACAUGACAAGAAUAAAAUACUAACCGGAUCAAUUGUACCAUUAGGGAACAACGAAUAAAAUAGAAGUUUGUCUCCCUUCUGUGGCUUUACUCUUAAACCAAUACAAUCCUCAAAAUCAUAGUUAUCGUUCAUGUUCGAUCCAUUCUACACAAUAACAAUGCACGAAUUACAAAAGUAUGUGACUAGAAAAUGGGAAAUAUUAUGUGAAUCAAGAUGUAGUGACCAAAUAGGUUUUACCUUAUAUGGAAACAUGGUCUCCCCACCUUCUUGAACAUCUGUUAAAUACAGCAAAAAUGAAGCCAUCUGCAUGGUAACCAGAACUCAUAGUCGAAAAAACAUAACCAGUUGGAUAGACAACCAGUAUGAUAGGGAACCAAUCAGUGCAAAUGAAAAAGUAUGAGUUUUGUUGUGACAUACCCUUUGGCUCUCUUGUGAGCCAUAUUCAGCAGGAUUGAAUGCGUCAUAGUGAGAAUUAUAUUUUUGUCCGACCUCAUAGCGGAGAAUAUUAAAUGCCUGAAACAUGGUGAUUCCUCAGACAGUUUAGAAAUCAUCCUGAAAAGAAUUGGUUUACAAUUUCAACAAAAUCAAAAAGCACCUGAUUGGAUAUGAAAGGAACCUAAUACUUAUAUUUAAGGAUUUAAUUAGUAAUAGUAUACAUUGACGGUGUGAUAUCCAAUCAUAUCUCGUCAUAUAGAUGUUUGUACAGAUAUUUUAUUCUUCCUCCAACCACGAGGAAGAAUAAAAAUGUUUGUGGCAACAUUUUCCAACAUCCCCCAACCAGUACCUUUUCCCCCUGGACUAUCCAAAAGUAAUGUUCAAAAUGCUAGUUUUACUGAAAGGAAAACUAACAGCUUUUUAUGCAGAUACAAAUUCAAAAACAAUACAGAAAUAAACAAGAUUUUUAAGUAUUCCCUUGGCCUUCUCACAGAGAAGCGAGUGGCAGGGAGGAUAAUAGGAAAUGUUACCUCUCCAUGAGUCCUGGGAACUUUUGUUGCUUUGGCAAUUUUGUUGUCAAUGAAUUCUAAAACUCGUCCUCAGAAGCGCUAAUAAACAUACCAGAGUUGUUUGGAAAAGAUGAAUACAUAAGUUCCUGAUAUGAUUUAAUGGAACUAUCACUAUGAGAUAAUGUGCAUAUUGGAUUUUAAGAGAAGACCAUAAUCAUCAAUUUAAAAUGAAUCGUGGGUUGUAUAAGAACAUAAAAAAGCAAAUAAAAGGAUUAUCAAGGUACAUAAUCUCUGCACUAAAAAAUUCCAACAUUAAAGUAACUGAUGAACACAAUUUUCGACUAUAAAGCUUGAGUAUAGCACUUGUGCCCAAACGUUGUUCCCGUAAACUUCAUAAUAGGCAACAAAACAGAACUAUGAACAUCUAAUUUAGGGACAUCAAGGUACAUAUAUUCCAUUUAGGGACAACUUGGGAAAUAUACUCCAUUUAGGGACAUUGAGGGACAUAUAUUCAAUUUUGCAUCUAAUGUGCCAAGGGACUUCUACGCUUACAUUUGAAGUUAUGAAUUAUUCACAUUGAAAUUGCAUUCAGACCAUCAAUUUUAGGGACAUUGAGGUACAUAAACUCAAUAUAAGGACAUCGAGGGACAUAAACUCAAUUUAGGGACAUAUACUCAAAUUUGCAUCUAAAGCACCAUGGCACACACAACCAUCUUUCUUAUUUACUGUUAUGAGAAAAUCAUUAUCAAGGGUCAUCUCGACUUGCAUUUCAAGUUAUGAAUAAUGUUCAUAUUCAAAUUGCAUUUAGACCAUAAAAUAAGAAUUCAUGGUGCCAUGAAUUCAGUUUUAUCAAAUUAUGGAUCACAUGAUCCAAAGAUCAAAUAAUGUAUCCGAUAUCAUCCGCCGUCAAUUCAAUUUAUCAAAAUUUCGAACCACAUAAUCCAAAUAUCAAAUUUCAUAUAGACUGUCAUUCUCCGUCAAUUCAAUUUUUCUCCAUCAAUUCAAUUUAUCAAAUAUCGGACCAAAUAAUUCAUCUCCGUCAAUUCAAUUUAUCAAAUUUAGACCACAUAUUCCAAAUAUCAAAUUCCGUAUCCAAUGUAAGUUGCCAUCAAUUCAGUUUAUCAAGUUUCUAACCACAUAAUCAAAAUAUCAAAUUCCCCAUCCAGUGUCAUUCUCCGUCAAUUCAGUUUCUCAAAUUUAGGACCACAUAAUCCAAAUAUCAAAUUUCGUAUCCAAUAUCAUUGGGGCACGAUAGCAUCAUGUUUCCAAUUUAUCAAAUUUUGAACCAUAGUGUCAAAUAUCAUAUUUUAUAUCAAGCCACAAUACAAUCAUAUUUGAAUACAAUAUUUUCUAUCCAACGCAGCACAAUACAACAAUUCUAAUUUAUGGUAUUUAAAACCAUGUAGGUUUAAAUGUCAAAUUUCGAAUCCAAAGUUAUCAUCUCAAUUUAUCGGAAUACAUAAAGGUAUUUCUAUGAUAAGAAGAACCCAAUUUUCUCUCCUAGAAUCUCAACAAUAUAACUGAAUCCAAUUUUCUAGAACAGAAGAUAUUGCACAAAAAUAAAGCUAUAAUGAAUCAAAAAUGGAAAAAGAAAAAGAAAUGAACCAAAAUAAAAUUUGAGAAGAGUUACAAAGGUUACCUUGAGAGACCGCAGAUUCGUUGAAUGUGGAAUCAAGAAACUAUCUAUUGUUUGUACUUUUUCUUCACGAAUUCAAAAGACAUUUCUAGGGUUUGAAGAUUCUUCAAGAACAUUGACGCCAAACACGAAUCGUUUUCGUUUUCCUAAUUGAUUGCAAAUUACACUGUAAGAAAACAACAGGCUUCCAGAAUUCACCGUCGUCGUACAAGAAACGGAAGGUUGUGGAUUUGGGAAGAAGGAUUAGGGUUUGGAAUGGGAAUGGCGGUGAUCGGAGAGAUUGAAAUGGAAGGUUGUGUUUCACUUCACUGCUUAUAUUUUACGCCGUGAAACAUUAAC